rnacentral:lncRNA from 1 species
CAGAUGAGGAAAUAGUAUUGAGAGAAAGGUAAUAUCUAAAUAGCUCUAGAAACGCCUUUGAUCUGAGUAUUUCGUUUGCCCAUAGGAGCUCCGUCCAUCUCAAAAAAACUGUUAUUGUUAAUUUUAUAUUUUGUUUGGCCAUCUGUCUUAUUAAAACUUUUUAUAUAAAUAUUAUUUAUUUUGAUAUGACUUAUUUGAUUAUUAGAGGUAUUUUAAUAAUAAUUUAUCUAUUAAAUAAUUUACUCAAAAUUUUUGAAUACGACGAAUGAUCAUCAAUCUUUUGAAGACAGAGAAAUAUUCUUUGGCACCCACUGCUGUGCUCAGUAACUGUCUUCUUCCUGCAUGGUACAGAACAGAAAUCAAUUAAUUCAAAUACCGGAACCUAUCUUAGGUGUACUACAUAACUUAUCAAAAUAGAUGUGAAUGGCACUAAUACAAUUUUUUCAACUACAGCUCAAAAUUAGGUGCUGACGCUGUGCAUGGUAAUUUAUGGAUAUCUUGGGAUAGUACAGUAGCUCAAUUUUUUGUUUUACUUUUUAUUUUUUUACUUUUGCUUCUCAUGCUAAUAAAUGGCAAGGAUUUUUAUUCGAGUGGAGAUCUAGGCAUGUUUUUUAGUUCAGAAUGGGAGAGAAGGAUGCAAAAUUUCAAACAUAGCAGUGAUCAAUUGUUUAGGGAGAAAAAUGCAUGAAAACCUCAACCAUGCACCUGAUGAUCGAUAUUAACAAGUCCUUGCUUAUUUGUAGAAAUGUCUGUAUUGUGAUAUUGUCCCCUUAAAACAACAAAAAAGCACAACAAUGUCAAAAUUGUCAUUGAACACCUUUUCGUGGACAGAACCAGAGGAAAAACAAAAGAAAUCAAUUCACACCACACCAUCGUGUCUUAUAGAUUGUUUGUUUGGUUGAUAAAUAGUUAUUCGUUGUGAUAAAAAAAUAUUGUUGAAUGACAAGCGCAGUCAAACGUUGUCUGUGUUAACACUUAACACCAUCGCAAGCACGCCUCUUUCGCUCGUGGGCACCAUGGUGCGGCGUGUGACGUGUGUCCCAGCUU